rnacentral:tRNA from 1 species
AUUAGGGUGGCAGAGCCUGGUAAUUGCAAAAGACCUAAAAUCUUUGUUCCGAGUGUUCAAAUCCCUCCCCUAAUU